UAAUUUGAUUUGGUUUUUAAGAAAAAUCUUCUAGUUUUUUUAUACAAUUUUUAUAAAAAUUUUUGUAGAAAAUUUAUUUUAUUUAAUAAUAAAAAAUUAUUAAGAAUUAGAAAAAUAAUCUAGCUAAAUUUGUGCCAGCAGCAGCGGUUAAACAAAUAGAACAAUUCUUAUUCUAAUAGAAUUUAAAAAAUGUGGUAAAAUUUUGUUAAAAAUUAAGGUGAAAUUUAUUUUUAAAAUUAAUUAAAAUAAAAUUAUAAUUCUUAUAAUAAACUAGGAUUAGAUACCCUAUUAUUUAAGAGCUAAAUAUUGUAAGUAUAUAAUAAUUACGAAAGCAAAAAAUUAUGGCGGUAUUUUAAGCUUUUCAGAGGAAUUUGCUCUUUAAUGGAUAAAACACCUAAAUCUUACUUAAAUUUGUCAAAUCAACUUGUAUACCACUAUUAAAACAAUUAUUAACUCUAAUUGUUAAUAUUUAAAAACAUAAAUUAAUUUAAAUUAAGUCAAGGUGCAGUAAAAAUUUAAGAAUGAAGUGAAUUACAUUACUUUUAAGAGAAAUAAAAUUAAAUAAAAUUUAGGAUUUGAAAGUAAAAUUAAAAUAGAAUGUUAAUUUGAAUUAAGCUCUAAAAUAUGUACAUAUCGCCCGUCACUCUUUUUUAAGAUAAGUCGUAACAAAGUUAAAAUACUGGAAAGUGUUUU
rnacentral:rRNA from 1 species